rnacentral:rRNA from 1 species
GAAGGGGGCGAGCGUUGUUCGGAUUUACUGGGCGUAAAGGGCGCGCAGGCGGCUAUCUUUGUCAGGCGUGAAAGCCCCGGGCUUAACCUGGGAAUGGCGCUUGGGACGGGGUGGCUAGAGAUCGGGAGAGGAGAGUGGAAUUCCCAGUGUAGAGGUGAAAUUCGUAGAUAUUGGGAAGAACACCGGUGGCGAAGGCGGCUCUCUGGACCGAUACUGACGCUGAGGCGCGAAAGCGUGGGGAGCAAACAGGAUUAGAUACCCUGGUAGUCCACGCUGUAAACGAUGUGUGCUAGACGCUGGGGAGCCUAGCUCUUCGGUGUCGCAGCUAACGCUUUAAGCACACCGCCUGGGGAGUACGGCCGCAAGGUUA